GGUAGACUACUUUCGGGUAGUCGAGAGUGGAGUAAGGGUCCCUAUCGCGUAUGCAACCUACCUUGUACAGGGGGAUAGCCCGGAGAAAUUCGGAUUAAUACCCCAUAGCAUUACCAGAUGGCAUCUGAAGGUAAUUAAAGAUUUAUCGGUACAAGAUGGGCAUGCGUGACAUUAGUUAGUUGGUAGGGUAACGGCCUACCAAGACUAUGAUGUCUAGGGGUUCUGAGAGGAUGAUCCCCCCCCCUGGUACUGAGAUACGGACCAAACUCCUACGGGAGGCAGCAGUAGGGAAUAUUGGUCAAUGGGCGAGAGCCUGAACCAGCCAUGCCGCGUGCAGGAACACGGCCUUCUGGGUUGUAAACUGCUUUUAUACGGGAAGAAAAGACCCUUGCGAGGGAGAUUGCCGGUACCGUAUGAAUAAGCACCGGCUAACUCCGUGCCAGCAGCCGCGGUAAUACGGAGGGUGCAAGCGUUGUCCGGAUUUAUUGGGUUUAAAGGGUGCGUAGGCGGCCCUUUAACUCAGUGGUGAAAGCCUGCAACUUAACUGUAGAACUGCCAUUGAUACUGGAGGCCUUGAGUGUACUAGAGGUAGGCCGAAUUUAUGGUGUAGCGCUGAAAUGCAUAAAUACCAUAAAGAACACCCAUAGCGUAGGCAGCUUACUGGAGUACCACUGACGCUGACGCACCAAAGCAUGGGGAGCGAACAGGAUUAGAUACCCUGGUAGUCCCUGCCCUAAACAAUGAUUACUCCAUGUUGGCGAUACACUGUUCCCCGUCCAAGCCAAAAGCGUUAGUAAUUCCCCCUGGGCAGUA
rnacentral:rRNA from 1 species